UACGUAGGGUGCGAGCGUUGCCCGGAUUUAUUGGGCGUAAAGGGCGCGUAGGCGGCCACGCACGUCCGUUGUGAAAUCGCCCCGGCUCAACUGGGCGGGGUCAGCGGAUACGGUGUGGCUAGAGCAAGCUAGGGGGCAAUGGAAUUCCCGGUGUAGUGGUGGAAUGCGUAGAUAUCGGGAGGAACACCAGUGGCGAAGGCGGUUGCCUGGAGCUUUGCUGACGCUGAUGCGCGAAAGCGUGGGGAGCGAUCCGG
rnacentral:rRNA from 1 species